rnacentral:rRNA from 1 species
CUCCCUACGGGGGGCAGCAGUGGGGAAUAUUGGGCAAUGGGCGCAAGCCUGAACGAGCAAUGCCGCGUGAACGAGGAAGGUCUUCGGAUCGUAAAGUUCUGUUGAAGGGGAAAAAGAGCGGAGAGAGGAAAUGGUCUCCGAUUGAUAUUACCCUUCGAGGAAGUCACGGCUAACUACGUGCCAGCAGCCGCGGUAAUACGUAGGUGGCGAGCGUUAUCCGGAAUGAUUGGGCAUAAAGGGUGCGUAGGCGGCCUGCUACGUCUGGAGUGAAAGGUACCGGCUCAACCGGUACAGGCUCUGG